UCAUUUUGCAACAAAAAAGCCCUGGUCUCUUCUUCAGUAACAGGUGAUGUCGAUCCUGAUCUCUUCUUUGUUGAAUUUUCAUCAUCAAAAUUUUCUUUGUUCAAUGGCAUUGGAAAGUCCAGGGCAAGUAAGCAUGGAGAUCGUUUCCUUCCAUGCUGUUUGCCCAAAUUGUUAUACAAAGAAAGAAAUUUGAAUAAGCAGUAGAUAAUUCUCCAUCUUCUUCGAGCAACAUUUUCAUUCCAU
rnacentral:misc_RNA from 1 species